rnacentral:lncRNA from 1 species
UACAUAGUUGCUUCCUUGUGUAUCUCUCUUUGCUUUGAUCAGUUGUUGUUUGUUGUUGUAUUGGUCUGUAUAAUAUAUCUCUUACAUUGUUGUAUUGUGUAUCUCGGGUGCUUUGAUCAGUUGUUGCUGUAUUGUGUAUCUCGUGAGUCAUGUGACAUAAGAAGCCAGGAGAUGAUAUUGGUAUGUUUCACUCACUCAUAAAGCUUGUCACUGAUGCUUACGAUUGUAACUCAUAAAGCUAUUGCUUUUGCAGGUGGAGCCAACAAACGACAGUAGCAACAUGUGACACCAACAAACGACAGUAGCGACAUGUGACAACAAAAGCAAGUUGUGACUCCUUUUUAUUUUUUUAUAAGCUUAGCCAUUUCACUUAAAGAGUGCAUAAGUUGUAUUUGUCUUCCGAGUGUAAGCAAGUUGUAUUCCUCUUCCGAGUGUAAAAGAACAAGUGUGUG